rnacentral:misc_RNA from 1 species
AGUAGCCGUUAAACAAUCAAUUUCCUUGAUGAUGGCAGCUAUCCCUAUAACUUGAUGUGGAUGAAGGUUUUGCCACAUUGCUGUCUGCAGAUAAUAUUUUCUUUGCUCUUCAUUGAAAGGCUUAGUUAACGCAUUCAUAUCAACACCAUAGUAAGUUUUGGUGUCUUCCACAAAAUUAUACCAAUCAUCCAUUGCUCCAUCAUAAUCACCCUUUUUUUGAUCUACCAAUCCAGACCUAAUAGGUGCCAUCCACAUGCGGGCAUGGCUUGGAUACAUGACUCCACUUGGUUUGAGCCAGCGGUCACGAGCACAUAUCACUGAAUCAAACAUAGAUUCACGGAGAAGGAAGUAACCCAUCCAUUCUGAGAUGAUUACAUCAACUUUCUCUGGCAAAGUAACAUCCUCCAUAGAACCCUCAAUCACUUCAACCACAUCUUGGAGAUUAUUUUCUUUGACUAGAGUCCGGGCAUGCUCUGCCAUCUUAGUUGCUUCCACUGCAUAGACUUUACUUGCACCUGCUUGCGCUGACCAUAUCGCAAGAAUACCGCUCCCUGUCCCUACAUCCAACACCACCUUUCCAUGAAAGUGGUGCUUGUUUUGAAAAAUGGCGUUAUAAUAAGCGUCCAUGCGGACUCGAUCGGAAAGCAUCUCUUUCUGGUGAUAGAGAAAAGCGUAGGUGCAGAAAUAUUGAGCGAAAUCGACGUCCUUAUCGACGAGGGCGGCUCCUCCAUUGCUACUGGAAGCACGGUCGCCGUUGUGGUGGCUGCCCAUAGGUAUCGACUCCUCUCCGGCCGGCGUCUUUCCAGAUAAGCGAGAAG